GUCCGCGUAACUCAGUGGUAGAGUGUGAGAUUGCAAGCUUGCAACAUCUCGAAGCCCCGUGUUCGAACCACGGCGCGGACU